rnacentral:rRNA from 1 species
UACGUAGGCAGCAAGCGUUGUUCGGAGUUACUGGGCGUAAAGGGUGCGUAGGCGGUUGUUUAAGUUUGGUGUGAAAUCUCCCGGCUCAACCGGGAGGGUGCGCCGAAUACUGAAUGACUAGAGCGCGGGAGAGGAGAGUGGAAUUCCUGGUGUAGCGGUGAAAUGCGUAGAUAUCAGGAGGAACACCGGUGGUGUAGACGGCUCUCUGGACCGUAACUGACGCUGAGGCACGAAAGCGUGGGUAGCAAACAGG